GGGAAGUUAGCUCAAUGGUAGAGCGGCAGUUUGUGGAACUGCAUGUUACGGGUUCAACUCCCGUACUUCCCCCCA
rnacentral:tRNA from 1 species